GACUGACUGAGUGCCAGCAGCCGCGGUAAUACGUACGUGGCAAGCGUUGUCCGGAAUUAUUGGGCGUAAAGGGCGCGCAGGCGGUUUCAUAAGUCUGUCUUAAAAGUGCGGGGCUUAACCCCGUGAGGGGACGGAAACUGUGAGACUGGAGUGUCGGAGAGGAAAGCGGAAUUCCUAGUGUAGCGGUGAAAUGCGUAGAUAUUAGGAGGAACACCAGUGGCGAAAGCGGCUUUCUGGACGACAACUGACGCUGAGGCGCGAAAGCCAGGGGAGCGAACGGGAUUAGAUACCCCGGUAGUCCUGGCCGUAAACGAUGGAUACUANGUGUAGGGGGUAUCGACCCCUCCUGUGCCGGAGUUAACGCAAUAAGUAUCCCGCCUGGGGAGUACGGCCGCAAGGCUGAAACUCAAAGGAAUUGACGGGGGCCCGCACAACGGUGGAGUAUUGGUUAAU
rnacentral:rRNA from 1 species